AUUGAACGCUGGCGGCAUGCCUUACACAUGCAAGUCGAACGGUAACAGGUCUUCGGAUGCUGACGAGUGGCGAACGGGUGAGUAAUACAUCGGAACGUGCCCGAGAGUGGGGGAUAACGAGGCGAAAGCUUUGCUAAUACCGCAUACGAUCUCAGGAUGAAAGCAGGGGACCGCAAGGCCUUGCGCUCACGGAGCGGCCGAUGGCAGAUUAGGUAGUUGGUGGGAUAAAAGCUUACCAAGCCGACGAUCUGUAGCUGGUCUGAGAGGACGACCAGCCACACUGGGACUGGGACACGGCCCAGACUCCUACGGGAGGCAGGAGUGGGGAAUUUUGGACAAUGGGCGCAAGCCUGAUCCAGCCAUGCCGCGUGCAGGAUGAAGGCCUUCGGGUUGUAAACUGCUUUUGUACGGAACGAAAAGACUCUGGUUAAUACCUGGGGUCCAUGACGGUACCGUAAGAAUAAGCACCGGCUAACUACGUGCCAGCCGCCGCGGUAACAC
rnacentral:rRNA from 1 species